rnacentral:misc_RNA from 1 species
GAUGAAGAACGCAGCGAAAUGCGAUAAGUAAUGCGAAUUGCAGAAUCCGUGAGUCAUCGAAUCUUUGAACGCACAUUGCGCCCUCUGGUAUUCCGGAGGGCAUGCCUGUUCGAGCGUCAUUAUCACCCCUCAAGCCCGGCUUGUUGUUGGAUGCAGCGCUUAUCCCGCUCCUCCCAAAGAUAAUGACGGCGUCUGCGACGACUCCUGUACACUGAGCUUUCGGGCACGUACACGGCUAGAAGUCCAGACCCGGUCGCCGUCCCCCCCGCGGGGACACCCAUUACCACAAGGUUGAUCUCGGAUCAGGUAGGAAUACCCGCUGAACUUAAGCAUAUCAAUAAGCGGAGGA